rnacentral:lncRNA from 1 species
CAAAAGCCGAAAAGCUAUUAACUUGCAUACAUCUUGUGUGCUUCAAAAUUGAAAUUAGCUUCUUUAAUUGCAUCAGCAUAAAACAAAUAUCUGUUCCUCAGAGGACCUGGUUUUAAAGGCAGCUUGAAAUUAAGUGACCCCAAGGCCCACACAGAUGUCAUGACAGCAGCUAUGAAAAGAGGUGAUUUACUGUGUAAUUGGGAGUGGUGCAGAAAAGUUGAAAUAAUGAGAGAAUUGUUUUUCUUUGUGUUUUCUUCCUUAUUCUCUGGAUUUUAUUUUCAGCAAUUAAGUGCUGAUUAGUUCCUCUACUGCCUGAUGCUUUGAGACAUGCAUAACAAUCAGCGAGCCUGCAAAUUGAGUGGAAACCCCUAAUUGCUUAGAUAAUGAUCCCAACAGAAGCUGCUCCUCAGGAGAGGAACCGCUCAUGAUAUUACCAGGCGGGGGCCUAGGUGUCCUCUUCUUCCUUUCUUCUCACCUGUCUCAGCACAGGCCAAUUCCACCAGCAAAGGUGCCCAGCUCACCUGCUUGGUCCCCUGGAGAAAUAUUGAGGCCACAGGAAAAUGGGGCCUGAAGACUGAUACUCCCAGGAAGAAGCAAGACUGAGAGCAAGAAGGAGACAAGGGGACCAAGAGCAACAGGAGCAGAAAAAGAAAGAGGAAGAGGACGAGGGAGGGAGGAAGGAGAGAAGGGCAAGAAAGAUGACUUAUUUGUCCACAGUGCCAAUGACAGGUUCCACAUUUUCCCAAAUGUAUGAGCCUCUAACCUAAGACAUGUCCAAAAGUUCUUUACUUACAGGGACAUGAUCUAGGGGCUUAGAGGGCCCUGGAAAAGUAAGAUAAUAUAUUUUAAAGACCCAAUUUUACACAAAAGAACAAAAAGAGGAAGAACUAUAGCAGAAUGCCACUGCUGUGGAUUCAGACUUCACCUCCCUGCCCACGGAGAUGAUUGAAGGGGAAAAAGGACAGAACAUGAAACUAACAAGCUUGAGGCCUUAUCAGUGUCUAUAUUGGCAAAUUGAGGAGCGAUGCACUCCCCAAGGCUGAAUGUUUUUCUACCAAUGCAUAAGAUCUACCAGCCACAGACAGGCACUGUUUUUAGAUGGUCUUGAGGCAUCUCAUUUUACAAAGGAUAUAGAAACAGACGGAUGCUAUAUAGAAACUGGUGGAGUGGGGUGGAAGAGAAGACAGAAGACAAGGGUUAUAAUUUAAUCAUAUAAACUCUGGAUGCAAUAACCAAGGUCUCCCCAGAAAGCUGUCAGUGUAUACUUGUGUGGUGAGUAGAUUUCUAAUCAGCUCUAGAAGGGUGGCCAAACACAGCUAAACUGUGUCUUUUAGUAGCAGGAAAAGCAUCUGCUAUAGUUUAGAUGUUUGUCCCCCAAACUCCAUAUUGAAAUUUGACCCCCAAUAUUGGAUGGGGGCCUAAGGGGAGGUGUUUGGAUCCUGAGGACAGAUCCCUCAUGAAUGUCUUGGUACUGUCCUCACAGUGAAGAGUGAGUUCUCACACUAUCAGCUCCCUUGAGAAACUGGUUGUCAAAACAAGCCUGGCACUCCCCAUCCCCUCACCACGUGGUCUCUGCACACACGAGCUUCCAUUCACUUUUCAUCAUGUAUGGAACCAACCCGAGGACCUCAUUGGAAAGAGAGUGGAUGCUGGCACCAUGCUUCUUGUUCAGCCUGCAGAACUGGGAGACAACAUAAACCUCUUUCCUUUAUAACUUACCCAGACUUGAGUAUUUCUUUGUAGCAAUACAAACAGACAAAGCAUCUGACAAGCAAGUUGUUCAAUGAAGAGAUUGUUAGAGCCUGGGGAAGAGUCAUCAUGUUCAAUUGGUACAAGAUGCAAUUAACUAAUAUGAUUUGGGACAGCUGUCUCCAUUGAGGUCACCAGGGUGUCAUGGAGUGAAGCUUCAGGAGGAAGAGCUGACUACUUCCUACCCUGGGCUCCAUUUUUGUCAGGGCUCUACAGAGAGACAGAACUGACAAGAUAUAAAGAGAGGAAUAAAACAAAAAUCCAGAUAUUUCUAUAAAUCCGAUUAUUUGCCAAAUUAAAUGUGAAAGCUUGCCUCUAUCUCUUUCCAUUGUGUGCAGAUAUUUUGCACAGUGUGGAUUUGGUCUCUAGGUGUGAGUGUGCCCUGGACACAAUGCAUAGUAGACAGACAUUGUGCUUCGUUGUAGACACUGUGCUAGGCACGUAUUACACAUUGCCCCAAAUCCUUAUCACAAACACAUCAGGAGUAUGAUGGCCAAGGAGGAAGCUGUGGCUCAGCCCAUUGAGGCUGUAUAUCCAGGGAUCAACAGCCAGUAAGUGGGUGUGCUGACUCCCAAGGCCAAAGCCCACCUACUUGCCAGGUAACUUUCUAGGGAUAUGAAGGCAUUCUAUGUUAUGAUGGUGUGUGUUACAUGAGUGUAUCUGUCUACCAAAAGUGUGCUUCCAUGAUUUAUGCAAUCAGAUAUGGGAUAUAAUGGUAACUCAUGUUUUUACCCAAGGAUUUUUUCAUCA